AGAGUUUGAUCCUGGCUCAGGACGAACGCUGGCGGCGUGCCUCAGACAUGCAAGUCGAACGCGAAAGUCCCCUUCGGGCCCGGGGACAGCGGCGAACGGGUGAGUAACACGUGAGUAAUCUGCCCUCGGCAUCGGGAUAGCCCGGGGAAACCCGGAUUAAUACCGAAUAGCCUCCGGAGCCUUCGGGCGCCGGAGAAAAGGUAGCUUCGGCCUCUGGCCGAGGAGGAGCUCGCGGCGGAUUAGCUUGUUGGCGGGGUAACGGCCCACCAAGGCGACGAUCCGUAGCUGGUCUGAGAGGACGAUCAGCCACACUGGGACUGAGACACGGCCCAGACUCCUACGGGAGGCAGCAGUGGGGAAUCUUGCGCAAUGGGCGACAGCCUGACGCAGCGACGCCGCGUGCGGGAAGAAGGCCUUCGGGUUGUAAACCGCUUUCAGGAGGGACGAAGCCACUCGGGUGAACAGCCCAGAGGGUGACGGUACCUCCAGAAGAAGCCCCGGCUAACUACGUGCCAGCAGCCGCGGUAAUACGUAGGGGGCAAGCGUUGUCCGGAUUUAUUGGGCGUAAAGAGCGUGUAGGCGGCCAAGCAGGUCCGCUGUGAAAACUCGAGGCUCAACCUCGAGAGGUCGGUGGAAACCGUUUGGCUAGAGUCCGGAAGAGGAGAGUGGAAUUCCUGGUGUAGCGGUGAAAUGCGCAGAUAUCAGGAAGAACACCUAUGGCGAAGGCAGCUCUCUGGGACGGUACUGACGCUGAGACGCGAAAGCGUGGGGAGCGAACAGGAUUAGAUACCCUGGUAGUCCACGCCGUAAACGAUGGGUGCUAGGUGUGGGCGGUGUCGACUCCGUCCGUGCCGAAGCUAACGCAUUAAGCACCCCGCCUGGGGAGUACGGCCGCAAGGCUAAAACUCAAAGGAAUUGACGG
rnacentral:rRNA from 1 species